AGCUUCGGCACAAGGGCCCAACUGGAAUUCCACUUACAGACGGAGUCUCGCUGUGUCUCCCAGGCUGGAGUGCAGUGGCAAGAUCUUGGCUCACUGCAAGCUCCGCCUUCCGGGUUCACGCCAUUCUCCUGCCUCAGCCUCCCGAGUAGCUGGGACUACAGGCACCCGCCACCACACCUGGCUAAUUUUUUGUAUUUUUAGUAGAGACGAGGUUUCACCAUGUUAGCCAGGAUGGUUUCGAUCUCCUGACCUCGUGAUCCGCCCGCCUUGGCCUCCCAAAGUGCUGGGAUUAUAGGUGUGACCCGCCGCGCCCAGCCCCAGGCAGAACAACUGGGUCCUGAGAACUGGGCACUUUUCAAGGAUUGUCAGCAAGGAGCGACUUCCCAAAUAUACAUCUAGAAAGAUGACAAACUCACAUGGAAUGUGGAUUUAAGGAGGAAGGCCUGAUCUUUUGGCCAGAAGGAGAUUAAAAGGAUGCCCCUCAAGAUGGCUGUGCCUGUCAGCUGCAUGGAGCUUCGUUCAAGUAUUUUCUGAGCCUGAUGGAUUUACAGUGAUCUUCAGUGGUUUGGGGAAUAACGCUGGUGGAACCAUGCACUGGAAUGACACACGUCCGGCACAUUUCAGGAUACUAAAAGUGGUUUUAAAGGAGGCCCUGGCUGAAUGCCUCAUGGAUUCUUACAGCUUGGAUGUCCAUGGGGGACGAAGGACCGCAGCUGGCUGUGAGGGUUGAGAUCUCUGUUUACUUAGAUCUCUGCCAACUUCCUUUGGGUCUCCCUAUGGAAUAUAAGACCCCGACUCUUCCUGGUGAAGCAUCUGAUGCACGUUCUAUUCGGCGC
rnacentral:lncRNA from 1 species